GUGUUAACUUUGGAAACACAUAUACUAAAAAUUGGAACAAUACAGAGAUUAUCAUGGCCCAUGCACAAAGAUAACACAAGUUCAUGAAGCAUUCUAUAUUUUU